UAGCCGUAAACGAUACUCGCUAGGUGUCGGCCACGGUGCGACCGUUGUCGGUGCCGUAGGGAAGCCGUGAAGCGAGCCACCUGGGAAGUACGGCCGCAAGGCUGAAACUUAAAGGAAUUGGCGGGGGAGCACAACAACGGGUGGAGCUUGCGGUUUAAUUGGACUCAACGCCGGGAAGCUCACCGGAUAAGACAGCGGAAUGAUUGCCGGGCUGAAGACCCUGCAUGACCAGCUGAGAGGUGGUGCAUGGCGUAGACGUCU
rnacentral:rRNA from 1 species